AACGAACGCUGGCGGCAGGCCUAACACAUGCAAGUCGAGCGCUCCCAGCAAUGGGGGAGCGGCGGACGGGUGAGUAACGCGUAGGAACGUAUCCUGAGGUGGGGGAUAACCCUGGGAAACUAGGGCUAAUACCGCAUGAUGGCGAGAGCCCAAAGAUUUAUCGCCUUGGGAGCGGCCUGCGUCUGAUUAGCUUGUUGGUGGGGUAACGGCCUACCAAGGCGAUGAUCAGUAGCUGGUCUGAGAGGAUGAUCAGCCACACUGGGACUGAGACACGGCCCAGACUCCUACGGGAGGCAGCAGUGGGGAAUAUUGGACAAUGGGCGAAAGCCUGAUCCAGCAAUGCCGCGUGGAUGAAGAAGGUCUUCGGAUUGUAAAGCUCUUUCGGUCGGAAAGAAAUAUCUAUAGAAAAUAUCUAUAGAGGAUGACGGUACCGACAUAAGAAGCACCGGCUAACUACGUGCCAGCAGCCGCGGUAAGGCACGA
rnacentral:rRNA from 1 species